CAGGUCUGUGGGCCCGCCCAUAUCUGCAGUGUGGGGUGCUAACAGGCACCACGCAAGACACUAAUGAAAGGGAACACCUGCGUUCCGAUGCAACCGAAGAGCUUAGUUUACAAUCAGGGAACUGCGGAGCAGCCGAUGUAGAGCUCUCAGAGCCUUCUCCAGCUCCACUUCUGCCUGAGUACCGUCAUGCUUCCUACCAUGUCGAUAACAGACUAAACCUCUGAACUGAGCACUGGGGCUUAGAGGAAGAAGCAGCCCAACUUCAACAAUGGAUCUAUUCACAGUAAUAAAACCCUAACUAAGAUAGCA